CACGAUUAGGCGGCCCAGUCCAACAGCAAGUGGGUUAAGGUUUGGACGCCGCGGCGACCUCUCUCUCCACUCCAGUUGCAGCCGCCGCCGGCGAGAGGUGCGGUAAGCUAUGGCGGACUCCGGCAGCCCGAGGAAGCGGGACGAGGAGGAAGAGGAGGACGAUAUAGUCUGCCUGGAUCCAUCCUUCUUCAUCGACCGCAGCUACGAGAUGACGACCUUCACUUUCGGUUCACAUGAGUUGCGCCUGCUCUGCCUGCGGGCCGCUUCCACUGAUUAUGAUCUUACUGGACAGUUAGUGUGGCCAGGCGCAGUCCUGAUGAACAACUAUCUAUCUGAACACCCUGAAAAUGUAAAGGGAUGUUCAGUUAUUGAGUUAGGAUCCGGGAUUGGCAUCACUGGCAUAUUAUGCAGCCGUUUCUGCAAAAGGGUUGUCUUGACUGAUCACAACGAUGAAGUUCUUGAGAUUAUAAAGAAAAAUAUAGAGUUGCAGUCAUGUUCUGAAAAUGCACAUGCAGUGUUGACAGCUGAGAAGCUAGAGUGGGGGAACUCUGAUCACAUAAGCAGUAUUAUUGAAAAACAUCCUGGUGGAUUUGAUGUUGUUCUUGGAGCUGAUAUUUGCUUCCAGCAAUCUAGCAUUUCCUGCCUCUUUGAUAGUGUAGAGAGGAUUAUUCGUACUCAAACCGGUAACUGCAGAUUCAUAUUGGCUUAUGUAUCACGAGCUAAAGUAAUGCCAUUACGCCAUAGCGUUUUGAAUCACUUCAGAAAAGGCAGCUGAAAUGAGGGCACUCAUGGGUCAUUCAUACACCAGUUAGAUCAGAAAAUUGUAGGUAGCUCACAGAAUACAACAGAGGGUGGAAGGGAGAAGUACAACAUCUCCAACUAGUUGAAACAUUAUAUGAAUCCAUAAAUAAUGGAUCCAAACAUUGCGCAGGUUGCACAUUCUGCCUAUGUUGCAAUGCAGCACAUACUGAAAAAGAAUUGUCAUAAAGAGUUGCAUGAGUCCUGCAUUCAGAUAAACAAUACCAUGGAUGGGCUAGUACUCAAGGAAGCUGAAAAACAUGGAAUGUGCGUCAGAGAAGUGGAUGGAACAAGAACAACCAUCUCAAAUCUUGAAGGGGUCAUAUUUGACAUUUCCUUGAAAUGACACCCUGCCCUGGACUCUCCUUUCUCAAAAUGCUAGGGUGGUCAUUGGUCAUGAAGAUCUGUAGAAGUUCCUUGUCGCAGUAUGAUGAGCUGGAGAUGUAGCAGUUGUAUCUCUGCUGAAGAUAAAGAAGUACCAUGUUAAUAUCAUUACAUAUGAUUGGCUUCAAAGCAUAUGCUGACUUAGUGUGGUUAUCUGCUUUUAACAGCCUUGAUCCUUUUCUCUAACGAGGAGCGUCAAUUCACGGGCGCUGGUGCUACAACUUUCUCAGGCUAUGUAUCAGUGACAUGACCACUCUGAAGCUUCUUGUGACAAAUGAGUUGCUGAAAGCAGUGCCCAUCAUAUAUGAGUUUCAGGUGCUGGUCUGAACUCUGAAAAGCUCUGAAUCACCAUGAGCUCGUGCUUGGUGUAACAUGUAAAACAUCGAUUGAACAGAAACCUUCAGCACAUCCUUCAAAGCAUGUGGCCUGGAUCCAAUUUUUCGCCUUGUU